CUUAGCAGGAAGCUUUGGGCAAGUUCAGUUCUGAGGCCUGCGGUCUCCAUCCACCUGCUUUAAUUGUCAUGGGAGUGUGCAAAACCACAAUGAGGAUUUCUUACAUGGGAAGGAUGACAGGGCUGAGGAGAUUGUAUCACGUUUCAGCUUUCGAGUCUCAAAGGGUGCCCUGACGAAUGUACAGCUCAUCUCACCAUUGCCAGCCUACCAGAAGCAAGCCGGUUUCAAGGGGAGCACAAUAACCCAGCACCCGAGGGGAGACGAAACUGACGUGAACUCCCACAGUGCACACACUCCUUGAACUGCGUCAUGGUUAACAGGGCUCACCGAGAGACAAGACCCAACACCCCGCUAGAACCAACAGACACUUUAUUUAAUCUUCCUGCAGCCUGCCACAAACUUGUAGACGGGCACCCAGUCCGACUGUCAUUUUAGCGUAGUAAUAUAGUUACGAUUCCAAAACGAUGUGUGCAGUGCUACAUGGGAUACUGAGACCUCCGCAGUUUUUAUAUAUAUAUAUAAAAAAAAAAAAAGAUGAUGCAGGGAGCAGUGGAACCAUUUUUACACGUUGCAUUGCAUAAAACUACUUCGUAAUAUUAACUGAAUUAUUGGAUAGGGAUGAAAAGGGGAUCUGUUGUCCUUUACAUCUGUGUUUUAGAAACGCACUACUGUUACUUUUUUGCGUUUUACUAAAAUGUCCUGCUUAUAUAACACAGAAUUCUGUCUAAACGUGACCUCUGAAAUGUGGUGUCAACUUUGUGUACUAUUUAUUUUGGGAAUA